rnacentral:lncRNA from 1 species
UGGUGUUAUGUUGAUAUUCUUGUUGUUGGUAGGUUUGUGUCUGAUGUUAUUGCGAAUACGAACUUGAAUUGUUCUAGUAGGAGUUCGGCUUUCCCUUACUGUCACUGACAUGAUUAGUCCCCUUUUUUAAUGGUGCUAUUCCUCCUGGCGUUUGGAUUUAAUGUACUUCCAAAACGGCUUUGUGUCAUUGUUGUUUAGGCCCUCAAAGAUGUUUUGGUUGACGUAUUCAUAUUCUGCUUUCCUCAGUCGUUUCUUACAUUCCUUUUGAAAAGAUCUAUAAUUUGACCAUUUGUUUGUUUUUCUGGCUUGUUUGUAUAGCCUCUGUUUUUUCUUUAGCAUUUUCCUCUGCUUGUGUUUGAUCCAUGGGAUGUUAUUUC